rnacentral:rRNA from 1 species
ACGGGGCGCAGCAGGCGCGAAACCUCCGCAAUGUGAGAAAUCGCGACGGGGGGACCCCAAGUGCCAUUCUUAACGGGAUGGCUUUUCUUAAGUGUAAAAAGCUUUUGGAAUAAGAGCUGGGCAAGACCGGUGCCAGCCGCCGCGGUAACACCGGCAGCUCUAGUGGUGACCAUUUUUAUUGGGCCUAAAGCGUUCGUAGCCGGUUUAAUAAGUCUUUGGUGAAAUCCUGCAGCUUAACUGCGGGAAUUGCUGGAGAUACUAUUAGACUUGAGAUCGGGAGAGGUUAGAGGUACUCCCAGGGUAGGGGUGAAAUCCUGUAAUCCUGGGAGGACCACCUGUGGCGAAGGCGUCUAACUGGAACGAAUCUGACGGUGAGGGACGAAAGCUAGGGGCGCGAACCGGAUUAGAUACCCGGGUAGUCCUAGCCGUAAACGAUGCGGACUUGGUGUUGGGAUGGCUUUGAGCUGCUCCAGUGCCGAAGGGAAGCUGUUAAGUCCGCCGCCU